rnacentral:rRNA from 1 species
UACAGAGGUCUCAAGCGUUGUUCGGAUUCAUUGGGCGUAAAGGGUGCGUAGGCGGUCUGUUGCGUCGGGAGUGAAAACUUUCAGCUUAACUGUGAGCGUGCUUUCGAUACGGGCAGACUUGAGGCAUUCAGGGGAGAACGGAAUUCCUGGUGUAGCGGUGAAAUGCGCAGAUAUCAGGAGGAACACCGGUGGCGAAGGCGGUUCUCUGGGAAUGUCCUGACGCUGAGGAGCGAAAGUGUGGGGAGCGAACAGG